GACGUAGGGUGCGAGCGUUGUCCGGAUUUAUUGGGCGUAAAGAGCUCGUAGGCGGCUUGUCGCGUCGACCGUGAAAACUUGGGGCUCAACCCCAAGCCUGCGGUCGAUACGGGCAGGCUAGAGUUCGGUAGGGGAGACUGGAAUUCCUGGUGUAGCGGUGAAAUGCGCAGAUAUCAGGAGGAACACCGAUGGCGAAGGCAGGUCUCUGGGCCGAUACUGACGCUGAGGAGCGAAAGCGUGGGGAGCGAACAGG
rnacentral:rRNA from 1 species